CCUACGGUGGACAGCAGUGAGGAAUAUUGGUCAAUGGGCGGGAGCCUGAACCAGCCAAGUCGCGUGAGGGAAGACGGUCCUAUGGAUUGUAAACCUCUUUAGGCGGGUAGCAAUGCCGGGCACGUGUGCCCGGAGGGAGAGUACCCGCAGAAUAAGCAUCGGCUAACUCCGUGCCAGCAGCCGCGGUAAUACGGAGGAUGCGAGCGUUAAUCGGAAUUACUGGGCGUAAAGCGCUCGUAGGCGGUAUGUCAAGUCAAGGGUGAAAUCCCCGCGCUCAACGUGGGAACUGCCUUUGAAACUGGCAAACUGGAGUGUGUGAGAGGAUAGUGGAAUUCCAGGUGUAGGAGUGAAAUCCGUAGAUAUCUGGAGGAACAUCAGUGGCGAAGGCGACUAUCUGGCACAUAACUGACGCUGAGGAGCGAAAGCGUGGGGAGCAAACAGGAUUGGAUACCCCUGUAGUC
rnacentral:rRNA from 1 species